AUUUAAUUUAUAAAUAGAUAGAAAUGGGUGGGGGAUAAUACUUGUGGGCCUAUUGGAACGUGUGAUUGAAAAUGAAAUUUGACCAUUUAUAAAUGAUUUAUAAAUUUUGCCAAAUGGAGGCUAAGACUACCAAGUUUUUGUUGAGGCUUAUACCUUAGAUUGCCUCAAGGGUUGCAUGAUGGAAGCAAAAAUCCUCGAUACUUGAUUUGGCCUUUUUAAACAUUAGGCCCUUGUUUAAUGGCGAAUAAAAUCAGAUUUUUAGUAGAUUUUGAUAAAAGUUAAUGAAAAAUGUGUUUGGAAAGUUAUGAGUCCAAUUAAAUAUGUGGUUAAAAUUAAUUGUUGACUUUAAUAUGGAUUUUGAUAAAUAUUUAGAUUUUAAUUUCUACCAAACAGGGGCUAGAUUUGACAUCGGGAAGAGGAUGCGGUGGAGUAGAACAUUCCCAAUUUGAUUUCAUUAUGGUGUCUGGUAUGUUGAAAUUGAAAGAAUGGCAGCAGAAUAAAAGUCAUGACAUGACAAAGUAUACUCAUGAGGUUUAAUUGAGCUAUAUACUCAUCAAUCUUAAAUUUAAAAGUUAAAAUCAGUAUAGUAGCACUUCAUUAAAAUACACUUUUAAGCGUAACUGAGUCUAGUGGGUGCUAAUGUAUUUGCAUGCAUUUCUAUGAGUUGACCGUGACAUUUAUAAUGGUUAACAAAUGGAAUGUGUCUUGCAUGCUAAUUUUUAAUAUUGUUGCUAAUAACAUCAUAACUCGAACUUUUUUUGUUGUGGUUCACAUGUCUAGGGAUGUUCGUGGUGGGAAGGGUGAGAAUAUGGUUAGGAUGGGGUAGCAGCCCAAAUACUUCCUUAUGAAUAAUAACACUUUCUGCUUGUGCCAACAGAUACUUACACUUCUAGUUUGUUGACCACUAUAAAACUCGUAUUGUAAUUAUGUUGAUAUAGGCUCAUGGAAAGAUGAUAUUAUUCAAACCUGGAAGGAAGAUGACUUGUAUUCUUAUUUGGUUGGUGGAGGGGAACUCAUUGUUGCACGUUGCAUCUAUUUUCUGGAAAAAUAUUCUUUGGUGCACUGAUUUAUUUGCGGGGGUGAUGUCUAUGAGAUGCAGCAUGUUGGUGUCCAUUGCAGAAACGGAUGGCUAAUGAUUUCAGGAAUUGGAAAUAAUAAAAAGGGUUGAAAAGAAAAAUCAAUAAUGACAAUAGAUUAAUGUCUGAAGGUUAUACGCUUAAGCGGUUACUCUCUUGUUUUGAACAGUUGCAGAGGUGACCAUCAGCUCUGGGAUCUGUUCUUCUGUUUCAUACACAAGGGAUUCGAACCCCAACACCAUGGUUUGUAUCCUGGCAAUGAAAUUUGAAAUGGAACUAAUAUCUUUGUACUUGCUCAAGUUCUUCCUAAAUCCCGACCCCCAUGUGACUACAGGAGGGAAGGCUCCGAACCUGUCGUCGGGUGUCAACAAAUGACCAGUUAUGAUGUUGUCCAAAGCUCUUGUUACUUUGUAGACGUCAUUAUGUAUGAUAUGUACUUAGAGAAUUUUAUUUUAGUUUUUUGGAUCAGAUUUGUUUGUGAUAUGUUCAACUGUACUCAAUGGUUGUUA
rnacentral:lncRNA from 1 species